rnacentral:rRNA from 1 species
GAUGAACGCUGGCGGCGUGCCUAAUACAUGCAAGUCGAGCGAACGGACGAGAAGCUUGCUUCUCUGAUGUUAGCGGCGGACGUGUGAGUAACACGUGGAUAACCUACCUAUAAGACUGGGAGAACUUCGGGAAACCGGAGCGAAUACCGGAUAAUAUUUUGAACCGCAUGGUUCAAAAGUGAAAGACGGUCUUGCUGUCACUUAUAGAUGGAUCCGCGCUGCAUUAGCUAGUUGGUAAGGUAACGGCUUACCAAGGCAACGAUGCAUAGCCGACCUGAGAGGGUGAUCGGCCACACUGGAACUGAGACACGGUCCAGACUCCUACGGGAGGCAGCAGUAGGGAAUCUUCCGCAAUGGGCGCAAGCCUGACGGAGCAACGCCGCGUGAGUGAUGAAGGUCUUCGGAUCGUAAAACUCUGUUAUUAGGGAAGAAAAUAUGUGUAAGUAACUGUGCACAUAUUGACGGUACCUAAUCAGAAAGCCACGGCUAACUACGUG